rnacentral:rRNA from 1 species
UGUUCCUACGGGAGGCAGCAGUGGGGAAUAUUGCACAAUGGGGGAAACCCUGAUGCAGCAACGCCGCGUGAGUGAUGACGGCCUUCGGGUUGUAAAGCACUGUCCCCAGGGACGAAAAUGACGGUACCUGGGGAGGAAGCUCCGGCUAACUACGUGCCAGCAGCCGCGGUAAUACGUAGGGAGCGAGCGUUGUCCGGAAUUACUGGGUGUAAAGGGAGCGUAGGCGGGGAUGCAAGUUGGGUGUCAAAACUACCGGCUCAACUGGGAGUCGCACUCAAAACUGCAGCUCUUGAGUGAAGUAGAGG